CCCUGUGUGCCGCUGCAUUUACACUGGGGCCGCCAGCUGUUUAUCCCAGAGAAGCACAAAUCCAGUUCAUUUUGAAAAGCCAUUGGUCUAGACAGCACAGAUACUGGCUCUGUGCUGGAGAGAACGAUGCUGGUAUCAUCGUGCAGAAGGUUUAAAACUUGUACCUGGGCACCUAGACAGAAGACAAGAAGGAACUAUAAGAAGAUGUCAAGCAAGGAAUCACACUAUAGUAGCUGUGAAGAUUAAGAGAGAUGAUUCAUAGGAGGGCCCAGCAUACAGUAAGAUCAAAAUAAAGGGAAGGUGGAGGUGGAGCAGUUACUGAAGAAGAAAAGAGGUCCUAAAUUACCGGAUUAAUGGGGCUUUGAGUGUUUCCACCUGUCCUGAUCCACCCAUUUGCACAAAAUCCAAUUACUACACUCUUCACCGGAUAGAAGACUCAGCUGUCAAACCACGUGGGGUACAAAUGCAAGGGCACUUCAUAGUCACAAACCUCCACAAAGAUUCCAUGAGCAAAAGGAGAGAAGGGCGUGGUAGCAUCCUCCAAUUUAUCAUCUAACCAUGGAAUUGUGACUCCGAUCAUGCAGAAAAGGGGAGAAGAAAGAGAGAUCCUAGCUUCCACUCCUCCAUCCUCAGUGAUGCAGAGA